rnacentral:rRNA from 1 species
GAUGAACGCUGGCGGCGUGCCUAAUACAUGCAAGUCGAGCGGUAAGGCUUUCACAGAUUAUUUAACCAGAUAAGUUCUUCGGAGAACUGUUUGCAGCGAUGAUUCCCCGGCUAGGGAAUCAGAGUUGAAUAAUGCGUGAAAGUACACGAGCGGCGGACGGCUGAGUAACACGUAGGAACGUACCCCAAAGUGAGGGAUAAGCACCGGAAACGGUGUCUAAUACCGCAUGUGAUCUUCGGAUUAAAGCUUCGGCGCUUUGGGAACGGCCUGCGCAUGAUUAGCUUGUUGGUGAGGUAAAAGCUCACCAAGGCGACAAUCAUUAGCUGGUCUGAGAGGAUGAUCAGCCAGACUGGGACUGAGAACGGCCCAGACUCCUACGGGAGGCAGCAGUAGGGAAUUUCCACAAUGGACGAAAGUCUGAUGGAGCAACGCCGCGUGCAGGAUGAAGGGUUUCGGCUCGUAAACUGCUUUAUCUGUGAAGA